AAAUAAGAAGCAAAACCUUGCAUUUAGUUUCGACCUAAAAAUUUGAUUAUUUUAAUCCUUAUUUU
rnacentral:tRNA from 1 species